rnacentral:lncRNA from 1 species
GUCUGGUUACCUGAGCCAGGUCUGGGGCCAGGCAGCAUGCAUUCUAGUCCUGCCUGGGACACUCACUGGCCUCAAGAUCUUGGGCAAAACAGCUGACUGCUUUGCACCUCAGUUUCCUCAUCUGUAAGGUCCAGGACUACCCACUUCCCUUGGAAUGGUGUUGCCAUCACUGUUCUGGCACCGGAGGUAAGGAUUCUACAUCGUUAGGAGAAAAGAAAAAGGAGAAUUUGGGCUUGCACUGAGAGGAUUACCUUUGGUGGUCUGGAAGUGGUGGGGUUGCAGCAUUGAAGGCACCAUCUUGGAAGCAGAGACUAGACCCUCACCAAGCAAUUAACAUGCUGGUGCAUUGAUCUUGGACUUUCCAGCCUCCAGAACUGUGAGAAAUAAAUUUCUGUUCUUAAUUAAUUACCCAGUCCCAGGUAUUCUGUUAUAGCAGCACAAAGCUUAGACGGGCUCCUUACAUCUUGAGGCUCCAUUAUCUCCUGGGAACUGGGAGUCCUUAGGUUCUAGCCAUGGAAAGAGAAACAAAAGAUGGAGAAGGCACACAUGCUUCUUAAUGGUCGUGGUUCAGAAGUAACAAAUACUAAUUCUAUAUAUUCUACUGGCUCAACACAAAUGCAGGGGUGUGCUGGGAAUGGAGUCUCUGAUUGGGCAGCAGGGAUCAGGGAUCAAAGAUCAGGAAAUAUUCCAGGGUGAAUAUUUUACUAGGUGAGGAGGACCAUGAAUUUUGACAAACAGCCUUUGCUGCUCUACCCACUCCUCAUCAUCACUGUUAGACACAAAGAGAAAUGGCAGCACUUUUUGUCCAUUGAUUGUAACUCUUUCUUUAAAGACUUUUAAGGCAGAAUCUCAAUUCAUCUCUUCUAUGAAACUUUCAUGAUUCAAAGGGAAGUCCCUGCAUGGACACUGCCAGCUUCAUUGCACUUCUGCCUCUAUGCUUUUUCCUGAACCUUCUCCACCUCUGGAACGUACUUCAGGCUGCACAGGGAGCAUGGCUGGGAGGCCUCAGGAAACUGACAAUCAUCAGUAGAAGAUGAAGAGGAAGGAGGCGCAUCUUACAUGGCCAGAGAAGGAGGAAGAAUAAGAAGGGAUUCUCCAGCUGGAGCCCUAUAAAUUGGACUGACAAAAGACAGAUUAGCAAGAGAAAUGCAAGCAGCAGUUUAUUAACAUGUGCAUCAUGAUUACACAUGGAAGUACCCAGAGGUCAUAAGACCUCAUGUGACAAGUGCCCUCCUUACUCCCAGAGAAAAGGAAGGAAGACACAGAAACACCACGAAGAAUAUGGACAAACAGACCUUGCUAAGUUCCCCCCCAUUUAUUACCAUGACAUCAUACUCCCUUUGUCCAAUCACACUUUCAUCAAACCUGAGCAUGAAAAUACACAGGUUUCUCUGUUUGGGGGGUGGGUCUUCAUUUUUGAAGUUUCCAUGUCAUGUAAAACUUAUAUUAAAGAAAUGUGUAUGUUUUACCCUUGUUAAUUU